rnacentral:lncRNA from 1 species
GUCCAAAGAAGAAGUUUACCUUGUAACGUAUAAAUAUACGAAAAUUGACUUUCGAUAAACAAAACUUUCUAUUUUUGAAAUGUCAAGAUCGUUUUUUUUUUUAAAUUCGUACGUUUAGUUUAAUAUUAGCAUGAAGUAUCUUUCUCUUUUUAUAUUUCUUUUUUCCUUUUUCGGAUUUACGUUUAAAAAUCUACAUCGUUUAAUAAUAUUCUAUAAGUAUAGUGGGGGGGGGGAUAGAUUUACUAUAAAAGGAUUUGUAACGUAAAAAUCGGAGACAGAAGUUUUAACGUAAACCGAGUGUUAUUAAAUUUGUCAGUGAAUAUGAAUACUACUGUUAAUUACUUGGUAAUAUUUUUAUUAAUUAUCACAUCAUUUGUAACGAUCGUUCAUCCAUUGGAUUUAAAAAAUGACGAAUUUACGAAUUUAUUUAACGAUAAAUUAAAAUUAACGAAACAUGAUAUUAAUUCGUCUGAUGUUAAAAAUCAACUUGACAAAUUACAAAAACCUGCAACGGAUAUAGUCCCACCAGAAAUUUAGUAACGCGACUACAA